UACGUAGGGUGCAAGCGUUAAUCGGAAUUACUGGGCGUAAAGCGUGCGCAGGCGGUUUUGUAAGUCUGAUGUGAAAUCCCCGGGCUCAACCUGGGAAUUGCAUUGGAGACUGCAAGGCUAGAAUCUGGCAGAGGGGGGGAGAAUUCCACGUGUAGCAGUGAAAUGCGUAGAGAUGUGGAGGAACACCGAUGGCGAAGGCAGCCCCCUGGGUCAAGAUUGACGCUCAUGCACGAAAGCGUGGGGAGCAAACAGG
rnacentral:rRNA from 1 species